CUACUGCACAUUCCCUUCUGCCAUCCCUAUUAUAUGUUUAUUUCUAUAAUUCCAGGAAAAAGAAAGUGCUAGAUUCUCCAGCAUGAAAAGUUUUGAAACAAAUGGAUUUACACACAAUGGUGCUGUACCAUGACAUUUCUUGUGUUUUAGCACUUGUCUCAUUUCUACUUGACUACAUGAAAGUGAAUGUGCACGCCCUCUUGCAUAUGCUUCAGAGCAAAGCAAGUAUUUACAGCUACAGCAGAAUGCUGGUGAUGAAGUCAUUCUUAUCACAAUCAAAAGAUAACUUGAACAGUAGGAAUAUCUCCAUCUCUUGAGGUUCAGCUGUCUCUAAAUCACCUCCAGAAGGUUCUAUGAAUCUUUC
rnacentral:lncRNA from 1 species